rnacentral:ncRNA from 1 species
GCGCUCCUCGAUUUUGUCCCGUCCGUGUCGCCGCAAGGCGAGGCCGGCGGGGACGAAGCGGAAGCAAAAGCGCCGCGCUGGAUAAAGCACGACCGAGGCCAGUCUGAGUCCCCGC